ACUCCUACGGGAGGCAGCAGUGGGGAAUAUUGGACAAUGGGCGCAAGCCUGAUCCAGCCAUGCCGCGUGAGUGAUGAAGGCCUUAGGGUUGUAAAGCUCUUUUGUCCGGGAAGAUAAUGACUNUACCGGAGAAUAAGCCCCGGCUACUCUGUGCCAGCAGCCGCGGUAAUACGAAGGGGCUAGCGUUGCUCGGAAUCACUGGGCGUAAAGGGCGCGUAGGCGGACUUUUAAGUCGGGGUGAAAGCCCAGGGCUCAACCCUGGAAUUGCCUUCGAUACUGGGAGUCUUGAGUUCGGAAGAGGUUGGUGGAACUGCGAGUGUAGAGGUGAAAUUCGUAGAUAUUCGCAAGAACACCGGUGGCGAAGGCGGCCAACUGGUCCGAUACUGACGCUGAGGCGCGAAAGCGUGGGGAGCAAACAGGAUUAGAUACCCU
rnacentral:rRNA from 1 species